CGACAGUGAGCUGAAAGCCGCGUCGCAACUGCUCUUUAACAAUUUAUCAGACAAUCUGUGUGGGCACUCGAAGAUACGGAUUCUUAACGUCGCAAGACGAAAAAUGAAUACCAAGUCUCAAGAGUGAACACGUAAUUCAUUACGAAGUUUAAUUCUUUGAGCAUCAAACUUUUAAAUUGAAGAGUUUGAUCAUGGCUCAGAUUGAACGCUGGCGGCAGGCCUAACACAUGCAAGUCGAACGGUAACAGGAAGAAGCUUGCUUCUUUGCUGACGAGUGGCGGACGGGUGAGUAAUGUCUGGGAAACUGCCUGAUGGAGGGGGAUAACUACUGGAAACGGUAGCUAAUACCGCAUAACGUCGCAAGACCAAAGAGGGGGACCUUCGGGCCUCUUGCCAUCGGAUGUGCCCAGAUGGGAUUAGCUUGUUGGUGGGGUAACGGCUCACCAAGGCGACGAUCCCUAGCUGGUCUGAGAGGAUGACCAGCCACACUGGAACUGAGACACGGUCCAGACUCCUACGGGAGGCAGCAGUGGGGAAUAUUGCACAAUGGGCGCAAGCCUGAUGCAGCCAUGCCGCGUGUAUGAAGAAGGCCUUCGGGUUGUAAAGUACUUUCAGCGGGGAGGAAGGGAGUAAAGUUAAUACCUUUGCUCAUUGACGUUACCCGCAGAAGAAGCACCGGCUAACUCCGUGCCAGCAGCC
rnacentral:rRNA from 1 species